AACGAACGCUGGCGGCAUGCCUAACACAUGCAAGUCGAACGAGACCUUCGGGUCUAGUGGCGCACGGGUGCGUAACGCGUGGGAACCUGCCCUUAGGUUCGGAAUAACUCCCCGAAAGGGUGCUAAUACCGGAUAAUGUCUUCGGACCAAAGAUUUAUCGCCUUUGGAUGGGCCCGCGUUGGAUUAGCUAGUUGGUAGGGUAAAAGCCUACCAAGGCGACGAUCCAUAGCUGGUCUGAGAGGAUGAUCAGCCACACCGGGACUGAGACACGGCCCAGACUCCUACGGGAGGGAGGAGUGGGGAAUAUUGGAAAAUGGGCGAAAGCCUGAUCCAGCAAUGCCGCGUGAGUGAUGAAGGCCUUAGGGUUGUAAAGCUCUUUUACCCGGGAUGAUAAUGACAGUACCGGGAGAAUAAGCUCCGGCUAACUCCGUG
rnacentral:rRNA from 1 species